rnacentral:lncRNA from 1 species
UAUAUGAUCUGAAUAUCCUAGGAACCUCUGGAUACAAUUUUCCAAAUAGUUGAAUAUCUCAACAAAGAGUUUGAGAUGAAAGAACUUGGAAAACAAAGUUUUGUUUGGGAUUACAGCUUGAGUACAUUAACAAUGAAAUCCUUGUGCAUCAAAUAGUAUAUAUAGAAAAGGGUACUAAAGAGAUUUAAUAUGGACCAGUCUCACCUAUUAUCUAG